rnacentral:rRNA from 1 species
AUUGAACGCUGGCGGCAGGCUUAACACAUGCAAGUCGAGCGAGCGGCGGACGGGUGAGUAAUGUCUGGGAAACUGCCUGAUGGAGGGGGAUAACUACGGGAAACUGUAGCUAAUACCGCGUACCAUAGGAUGAGCCCAAGUGGGAUUAGGUAGUUGGUGAGGUAACGGCUCACCUAGGCGACGAUCCCUAGCUGGUCUGAGAGGAUGAUCGGCAACACUGGGACUGAGACACGGCCCAGACUCCUACGGGAGGCAGCAGUGGGGAAUAUUGCACAAUGGGCGAAAGCCUGAGGCAGCCAUGCCGCGUGUAUGAAGAAGGCCUUCGGGUGGUAAAGUACUUUCAGUCGGGAGGCGUUACCGACAGAAAAAGCACCGGCUAACUCCGUGCCAGCAGCCGCGGUAAUAC